rnacentral:rRNA from 1 species
UUAAGGUAUUCUUUUGCAGCGCUUAACUGCGCGGCGAAAACCUUACACACAGUGUCUUUUUGAUACAGAACUCUUGCUUUGGUUUGGCCUAGAGAUAGGUUGGGCCAGAGGUUUAACAAAACACAAUUUAAUUAUUUUUACAGUUAGUCAAAUUUUGAAUUAAUCUUCAAAACUUUCAACAACGGAUCUCUUGGUUCUCGCAUCGAUGAAGAACGCAGCGAAAUGCGAUAAGUAAUAUGAAUUGCAGAUUUUCGUGAAUCAUCGAAUCUUUGAACGCACAUUGCGCCCUCUGGUAUUCCAGAGGGCAUGCCUGUUUGAGCGUCAUUUCUCUCUCAAACCCCCGGGUUUGGUAUUGAGUGAUACUCUUAGUCGGACUAGGCGUUUGCUUGAAAAGUAUUGGCAUGGGUAGUACUGGAUAGUGCUGUCGACCUCUCAAUGUAUUAGGUUUAUCCAACUCGUUGAAUGGUGUGGCGGGAUAUUUCUGGUAUUGUUGGCCCGGCCUUACAACAACCAAACAAGUUUGACCUCAAAUCAGGUAGGAAUACCCGCUGAACUUAAGCAUAUCAAUAAGCGGAGGAA